rnacentral:rRNA from 1 species
GGGCAAGUCUGGUGCCAGCAGCCGCGGUAAUUCCAGCUCCAAUAGCGUAUAUUAAUUUUGUUGCGGUUAAAAAGCUCGUAGUUGGAUCUCGGUUUCGGGCGAGCGGUGUACCUUGCGGUAUUUACUGUUUGCCCGGACGAUUUUGUUGGUUCGUUUAUGGUUCUCUUAACCGAGUGCCAUAAGUGGCCAGCACGUUUACUUUGAAAAAAUUGGAGUGCUCAAAGCAGGCGCUACAGCCUGAACAUUAGUGCAUGGAAUAAUGGAAUAGGAUCUCGGUUCUAUUUCGUUGGCUUUCGGAGUCGAGGUAAUGAUUAAUAGGGACAGACGGGGGCAUUCGUACUGCGACGUUAGAGGUGAAAUUCUUGGAUCGUCGCAAGACGAACUACUGCGAAAGCAUUUGCCAAGAAUGU